rnacentral:rRNA from 1 species
CCUGGCUCAGGAUGAACGCUGGCGGCGUGCCUAAUACAUGCAAGUCGAGCGAAUGGAUUAAGAGCUUGCUCUUAUGAAGUUAGCGGCGGACGGGUGAGUAACACGUGGGUAACCUGCCCAUAAGACUGGGAUAACUCCGGGAAACCGGGGCUAAUACCGGAUAACAUUUUGAACCGCAUGGUUCGAAAUUGAAAGGCGGCUUCGGCUGUCACUUAUGGAUGGACCCGCGUCGCAUUAGCUAGUUGGUGAGGUAACGGCUCACCAAGGCAACGAUGCGUAGCCGACCUGAGAGGGUGAUCGGCCACACUGGGACUGAGACACGGCCCAGACUCCUACGGGAGGCAGCAGUAGGGAAUCUUCCGCAAUGGACGAAAGUCUGACGGAGCAACGCCGCGUGAGUGAUGAAGGCUUUCGGGUCGUAAAACUCUGUUGUUAGGGAAGAACAAGUGCUAG